AGGAGAUAACAGUUCUGGAAAAAAUUGUAUGUGUAGAGGAAUCUCUCGUUGGAGGAUAUGUGGUCGUAAACUAUGAUGGUAUGCCAUACCCUGGUGUUGUGCAAGCUGUCGCUGAAAAUGAUCUUGAAGUACAGGUUAUGCACAGAAUCGGCAGAAAUCGCUUCUUCUGGCCGAGGAUGGAAGAUGUGCUGUGGUAUAGCCAGGACAAAAUUAUAACACUGCUCCAAAAAGAACCAGAGCAAGUUACGUCAAGACACCGACAGAUACCACCUCAUCUGUGGAUGUUAAUUGAACAAGAACUCGGCCUUUAAAUGGCAUUAAAACAAAACUAACACUUUUGAGCAACCAAAACUAUACAACACAAAUAUCAUAUGUGUUGGGUAUAAACGAAAUUAAAUGUUACUAGGACAUUUGUGUGAUAUUGGUCUUGUCAACCCUUGAAAAAAAAAACAAAUUCGGCAUCGUCUCAUGUGGCAUUUUGUUUUUAGGGUUAUCAAGAUCAGUGUCAAACAUGCUGCCAUGAAACAUGAAUAAGCGAAUUAAUAUGUUUAUAAUGUUAGCAGAUGUGUUGUGUUUUACAUAAAUUGUUUCCAGUUUGUGUUACAUGUAGCCAUGUAAUAUGAAUAAGCCAAUUAAUAUGUUUUUAAUGUUAGCAAAUGUGUUGUGUUUAACAUAAAUUGUUUCGAGUUUGUGUUACAUGAUGUUAUCACUACCGUUACCAAUUUGAAAAUACCGUUACGAUUUAUCAUUACCGUAACAGCAAAGUUUAAGUGAUUUCUAAGAAUAAGGCUCAUAUUCUUGUUUUGUAAUCUGUGACCUCAGUUAAUAAUAGGUUGAAUAUUAUGUGUAUGUGCAAGAGCCGUCUCGAAUGUUUCGCUUGAUAAAUGGCAAUGAAAAAGUAAAAGUGCGCAUUUUUGUAGUAUUUGGAAAUUCUUGCGUACAUGUAUAAGUCUUGGGUACAUUAUUCAUAACAUGUUUUCAAAAGCGGCUGUAUUUAAAACAUGAAAAUGAUAUUUCUUCAUAAAAUCGAUAAUUUUGUAGCACUAGCUAUUAUUUGUUAAAUAAAGCAUGUUUUAUUAUUUGUAACGGUAGUGAUAUUUUUUCUUGACAGAUGUUCAAUAAAAUAAUAUGAUUUU